CACAGAUGCAAUAAUUGUAAACAUACCUUUUAAAUCUCAGGAUCAUUUUGAGGCCUAUGAGAUUAAACCUUUUCCAUUCUCCGUUAAUAAUUCUGUGAUGACACUGGACAUGAAUCCUUCCUUAGUGCUAAUAGCCAAGGACUUUUCAUUAUAUACAAUUGGAGAUUUAACUGAAUUAAAACGUUGUAAAUCUUCAUACUUACAUUUGUACCAUUGUUCAAGUAUCCAAUUUGCCUUCUUACCUUUAGUAAAUAGAAUUUGUGAAGUCGUCUUGACACGUUCAGAGGCGUCAGCAGCUCUAUCACUUUGUCCAUACAAGGAUGUGGUUUCAAAACCUAUUGUCCAUUGUAACUUUCAUGGAUAUCAUUACUUUUAUUUCACAGAAACUUUUUAUGUCUCCGUGACUUGCCCAGAAGGGACCACCAAUGAGGAGGUUAUAGGACAUUUUGCAGUACAAGAUGCUUGUCAUGCACGUUCUCGUAUAUUCUAGUUCUAAAUACUUACCCUUCUAGGAUUCACUUAGCUUUCACAACAGACCUUUCAUAUAGGGUUUUCCCAGUCACUUCCCUGGAGAAUUUGACAAAGUCAAGGAUUUCUUUUAUAACAAACUCCUUAUCCACUCGUUCCUUCUCAAACACAAAAGAGUUUUCAGAAGCUCUAGAGACAUCUUUACCAAUAUAUCUGAAACCUGGAAUUCUCUAUUCAAGUGUCCUGACACCUUGCCUUAUUUUAAUGUUCUUGAUAAUAUUCUUAUAUGUGUGUGUUAGGAAAGCCCUAAAUUUGUAUGUAUAUCUUGAUAGUAGAAGUAAACGUCUUACUUCUGCAACUAUUAAUGAAGGAAUUUCAUACACAUAACAUGGUUAGAUACACUGUAUUCGCGAGGACGCGUCAAGUAGGUGACCGAUCGAUGUAACGGUGUCACAUAAUUAAUAAUAAUAUGUAUUGUAUUUAUAAUGCCUUGCCUGAUUAGCAAUAUAAGUGUAUGUAUACAUAUAUGCAUAAGUGUAGAUAGUGGGUGUUGGCGCAUAAGGGUGGGGCGGAUACGAUCACGCCAUCCUACGUCACACACACACCAUGGAACUUUCCAUACUUCUUUUAUUGCCAUCGAUAAGUAAUCGGUAGCACCUACAUUACAGUAUCUAAGUAUUCUCCAUAGUUAAUCUCUCCCUAAUGUAUUUUGGCAUGUAUUAUUCUUAGCUAUAAGUGGCUUUUCCCUUGCCUUGUUUAUGUAAUUAGAGAGCUAUAAUUAUGAAUAUAUUCAUGUACUGUGAGUGCUGUCAACCCGCCCCUAUUUCUACUGUCAGCACUUUUUGAAGGCGCUAAGCGUCCCUUGUGCCGGCUCCGGCAGUCUCUUGCCAGGGUGUAACGCUGUACCACGCAGAGGACAUCCAUUGUCUCGUACACGCCACACCCUUCUCCACAACUCCUACAUAAAUCUAAAUAUACAUAUUUUUAUACGUUCACCUUUGACAUUCACCUGAAAAUCACAGAAACUCACCACGAGUGACUUUACCUACUACAUAAAGAUUUUUUUUUAUGAUAUUUGCCUGAGAACGUUCUCCUAAGAAUCUGCCUGCUGGUAGGGCUUCUGGAGCGCGGGCUAGUAAACCGCGUGCCACAAGCCAUGCUUCCCUUACCAAGCCCACCAACCGCUCCACUUCCAUUUCCGUGAGUAUCUUGACGGUUAGCGGGUUAACAGCUGUUCUAACGUUGCCUACCCCAGACCUCGCGAGGCCACGCUUACCGUAAUCCCUAGCUUCUCGUGCCUCGCCGAGGACCACCAAGCUUAUGGUUAAGAGACACAGUACUGUACUCGCCACGCACACCCAUUUGUAGAUAGUCAUGAAAACAUCGAUAGAAGGCUUCGGUGUCACCAGCCGUUCCUCCUCUACCAGCAGCUGAUGGAGAGAUUCCUCGUAAGAACCGCGGAAAAGGUGACUGAUGGUGUUCAUCGCCUUCCAAGUCACCCCCAUGUCCACAAGGUUUGCUAUCACG